GAGAGAAUUUUUAUCCCAUAGAUAAAUUCUAUAUUUUGAGUAUCUGAAAAAUCCAACAUCCAUCUUUGAAAUAUAUAAUUAGUAGCAUAGUUACUCAAUAUUUUAUGAUCAUCAAAAUCAAUCAUAGGGUCAACACUAAGCUUUUCUCUAUACCAAAUUUAAUAUUCUUGCAUCUUCAAAUGGUUUAGAGAGCAUGAAGAUUUGGGGUCCCACCACUC
rnacentral:lncRNA from 1 species